CUCAGUGGACAAGAACCGAUGGCAGCGGGGAGAGGUCUUCACGUGUGCAGUCAUGCAUGAAGCUCUACACAACCACCACACACAGAAAUCCAUCUCCCAGACUCCGGAGCUGCUCCUGGACGACAGCUGUGCCGAGGACCAGGAUGGGGAGCUGGACGGGCUGUGGACCACCAUCUCAAUCUUCAUCACCCUCUUCCUGCUCAGCGUGUGCUACAGCGCCACUGUGACCCUCUUCAAGAUGAAGUGGAUCUUCUCCUUGGUGGUGGAGCUGAAGCGCACGAUCGUGCCCGACUACAGGAACAUGAUCGGGCAGGGGACCUAGGGUCAGCCCUCUUGGGCGUGUGUCCAGGGCUGCCCUCGACCCCACACA